GUAAUGUAUAGAGUACUUCUCUCUUUUUGCUUAAUUAAUGAGUUUGUUGUGUAAUAUGAGAUCUCUUCUCACCAGGUUUGACCUCUCCUUUGACCCCCAGUACAGCACUGAAUCCUCGGGUUUGACAGUUAGUUUUACUUUGACCACCGACACUCUGAGUAAAGCGCUCCAAAUAUGGCAGGCAGCAGUGUGUAUGGCUUCUGGAGUUGCCGUGUUCCUGAUGGGACUGACAGCUGUCUGUCUCUGCAGAGGACCGGUGAUUUGUUGA
rnacentral:lncRNA from 1 species